CGGAGGACGGUGACGGUGACGGCGAACCAGCCGUCGACGAAGAGGCACAUGCAGCUCUCGCUUAUGGAGAGGGUGUAGAAGAACAAGGGGUCCACGAAGAGCCCCACCGCGCAAACUAAGAGGAACAAUCUGUUCCAUUCCUGCACCCACGUCGCUCUAGGGUCCAAAACCUUACCCCAGAACCGCCACUCGCGGCGUCGGGAACAGCAACCGCCGUCCAAGCUCGCCGGAUUAAUUACCUCCUCCUCCUCCUCUGCUUCGUCGGAAUCACUCUCGUCAUUGCUGUAGUUGUAGUGGAAGCCUUCUUGCUCGCAAUUCGGCAUGUUAAUGUGUUUUUCUCUUUGAGAGAAUUGUUAAUUGAAUCUGUUGGGAUUAGGGAAAAGGUAAGACUAAGUUGGUGAGUGGUGAGACAAAGUGCGUAGUCCAGACAGUUGAGUAGGGCAGCAAAAUGACGCCAAACUGAUAUUAUUCUCAAAUAAGUUCGAACGACACAGCAUCAAACGACAAAGGGCGUACCGGCAUCGAUCACGUCCCAUGAAGAGCCGUUUGAGAAUAAAACUGAUACAUAUAUCAUUUUCAGGUUCGCAAGAAUCAAAUGAUCUGCACAUCCCACCCACCGUUCAUUCAAGGCUGAUCGUUUUCUAUAUAGGUGUGUUGUCUUUGAUGAAAAAGGGGGUAGAAAACUUAUUUUACACUUUGCCACAUGUUCUAUAGAGUAGGUUGGUGAGUGGUGAGACAAAGUGUGUAAUUACUUUGAUGCCCUUGCAGUUACACGUCAAUUCACG